GAGUUUGAUCAUGGCUCAGGAUGAACGCCGGCGGUGUGCCUAAUACAUGCAAGUCGUACGCACUGGCCCAACUGAUUGAUGGUGCUUGCACCUGAUCGACGAUGGAUCACCAGUGAGUGGCGGACGGGUGAGUAACACGUAGGUAACCUGCCCUGUACAGGGGAUAACAAUCAGAAAUGACUGCUAAUACCGCAUAAGACCACAGCACCGCAUGGUGCAGGGGUAAAAACUCCGGUGGUACAGGAUGGACCCGCGUCUGAUUAGCUGGUUGGUGAGGUAACGGCUCACCAAGGCGACGAUCAGUAGCCGGCUUGAGAGAGUGAACGGCCACAUUGGGACUGAGACACGGCCCAAAACUCCUACGGGAGGCAGCAGUGGGAAUAUUGCACAAUGGGGAAACCCUGAUGCAGCAACGCCGCGUGAGUGAAGAAGUAUUUCGGUAUGUAAAGCUCUAUCAGCAGGGAAGAAAGUGACGGUACCUGACUAAGAAGCCCCGGCU
rnacentral:rRNA from 1 species